GAUGAGGAAGAGUGAGGACUCAGGUAGCAGAGGGAUGAGGAAGAGUGAGGACUCAGGUAGCAGAGGGAUGAGGAAGAGUGAGGACUCAGGUAGCAGAGGGAUGAGGAAGAGUGAGGACUCAGGUAGCAGAGGGAUGAGGAAGAGUGAGGACUCAGGUAGCAGAGGGAUGAGGAAGAGUGAGGACUCAGGUAGCAGAGGGAUGAGGAAGAGUGAGGACUCAGGUAGCAGAGGGAUGAGGAAGAGUGAGGACUCAGGUAGCAGAGGGAUGAGGAAGAGUGAGGACUCAGGUAGCAGAGGGAUGAGGAAGAGUGAGGACUCAGGUAGCAGGCGGAGGAGGGAGAGUGAGGGCUCAGGUAGCAGAGGGAUGAGGAAGAGUGAGGACUCAGGUAGCAGAGGGAUGAGGAAGAGUGAGGACUCAGGUAGCAGAGGGAUGAGGAAGAGUGAGGACUCAGGUAGCAGGCGGAGGAGGGAGAGUGAGGGCUCGGGUAGCAGAGGGAUGAGGAAGAGUGAGGACUCAGGUAGCAGAGGGAUGAGGAAGAGUGAGGACUCAGGUAGCAGAGGGAUGAGGAAGAGUGAGGACUCAGGUAGCAGAGGGAUGAGGAAGAGUGAGGACUCAGGUAGCAGAGGGAUGAGGAGGGGGAAGAGUGAGGACUCAGGUAGCAGACAGAGGGG